UACGUAGGUGGCAAGCGUUGUCCGGAUUUACUGGGCGUAAAGAGCGCGCAGGCGGUCGUUCAAGUCGCGUGUGAAAGCCCCCGGCUCAACUGGGGAGGGUCACGCGAUACUGAUCGACUCGAAGGCAGGAGAGGGUAGUGGAAUUCCCGGUGUAGUGGUGAAAUGCGUAGAUAUCUGGAGGAACACCGGUGGCGAAGGCGGCGUUCUGGACUGCAACUGACACUGAGGAACGAAAGCCAGGGGAGCAAACGGG
rnacentral:rRNA from 1 species